rnacentral:rRNA from 1 species
AUUGAACGCUGGCGGCAGGCCUAACACAUGCAAGUCGAGCGGAUGAAGGGAGCUUGCUCCUGGAUUCAGCGGCGGACGGGCGAGUAAUGCCUAGGAAUCUGCCUGGCCGUGGGGGAUAACGUCCGGAAACGGGCGCUAAUACCGCAUCCGUCCAGAGGGUGAAAGUGGGGGAUCUUUGGACCUCACGCUAUCAGCUGAGCCUAGGUCGGAUUAGCUAGUUGGUGGGGUAAAGGCCUACCAAGGCGACGAUCCGUAACUGGUCUGAGAGGAUGAUCAGUCACACUGGAACUGAGACACGGUCCAAACUCCUACGGGAGGCAGCAGUGGGGAAUCUUGGACAAUGGGCGAAAGCCUGAUCCAGCCAUGCCGCGUGUGUGAAGAAGGUCUUCGGAUUGUAAAGCACUUUUAGUUGGGAGGAAGGGCAGUGAGUUAAUACCUUGCUGUUUUGACGUUACCAACAGAAUAAGCACCGGCUAACUUCGUG